UCCAGACUCCUACGGGAGGCAGCAGUGGGGAAUAUUGCACAAUGGGCGCAAGCCUGAUGCAGCCAUGCCGCGUGUAUGAAGAAGGCCUUCGGGUUGUAAAGUACUUUCAGCGGGAGGAAGGGGUUAAGGUUAAUAACCUUAGCCAUUGACGUUACCCGCAGAAGAAGCGCCGGCUAACUCCGUGCCAGCAGCCGCGGUAAUACGGAGGGUGCCAGCGUUAAUCGGAAUUACUGGGCGUAAAGCGCACGCAGGCGGUCUGUCAAGUCGGAUGUGAAAUCCCCGGGCUCAACCUGGGAACUGCAUUCGAAACUGGCAGGCUGGAGUCUUGUAGAGGGGGGUAGAAUUCCAGGUGUAGCGGUGAAAUGCGUAGAGAUCUGGAGGAAUACCGGUGGCGAAGGCGGCCCCCUGGACAAAGACUGACGCUCAGGUGCGAAAGCGUGGGGAGCAAACAGGAUUAGAUACCCUCGUA
rnacentral:rRNA from 1 species